GAUGAACGCUGGCGGUAGGCUUAACACAUGCAAGUCGAGGGGCAGCACGGUCUUAGCUUGCUAAGGCUGAGGGCGACCGGCGCACGGGUGCGUAACGCGUAUGCAACUUGACUAACAGAGGGGGAUAACCCGCCGAAAGACGGACCAAUAACGCGUACACGCUAUGUUGGGGAGCCAAGGUAGAGGAAAUGAAAGUCGCUGUGAGAUAGGCAUGCGUCCCAUUAGCUAGGUGGUGAGGUAACGGCUCACCAAGGCGACGAUGGGUAGGGGAACUGAGAGGGUGAAGCCCCACACUGGUACUGAGACACUGACCAGUCUCCUACGGGAGUCAGCAGUGAGGAAUAUUGGACACUGGGCGAGAGCCUGAACCAGCCAAGUCGCGUGAAGGAUGACUGUCUUAUGGAUUGUAAACUUCUGUUAUACGGGAAUAACAGGAGUCACGUGUGGCUCCCUGCAUGUACCGUAUAAAUAAGCACCGGCUAACUCCGUG
rnacentral:rRNA from 1 species